rnacentral:lncRNA from 1 species
GGGUGGGCUAUAGCCUUUGGGGGUGGAGCUGGCCCACUUCGUCCGCCGGACUCGGAAUGCCGCGAGACUUUGCGAGGGGCCUCCGUGUGCCAAAAAUAGGCCGCUGGCAAAGCUGCGCCAAGAAAUAACCGGCCGAAGGCCAGGGCGCCAAGUUCGUCCAGCGGAAAAAGGCCACAAAAACAGGUGGGCUAUAGCCUUGGGGGGUGGGGCUGGCCAACUUCGUCCGCCGGGUUCGGAAUGGCGAGAGACUUUGCGAGGGGCCUCCGUGUGCCAAAAAUAGGCCGCGGGAAAAGCCGUGCCCAAAAAUAACAGCCCAAAGGCCAGGGCGCCAAGUUUGUCCAGCGGAAAAAGGCCACAAAAACGGGUGGGCUAUAGCCUUGGGGGUGGGGCUGGCCAACUUCGUCCGCCGGGCUCGGAAUGCCGCGAGACUUUGCGAGGGGCCUCCGUGUGCCAAAAAUAGGCCGCGGGCAAAGCCGCGCCAAGAAAUAACCGGCCGAAGGACGGGGCGCCAAGUUCGUCCAGCAGAAAAAGGCCACAAAAACUGGUGGGCUAUAGCCUUGGGGGGUGGGGCUGGCCAACUUCUUCCGCCGGACUCGGAAUGCCGCGAGACUUUGCGAGGGGCCUCCGUGUGCCAAAAAGAGGCCGCGGGCAAAGCCGCAUCCAAAAAUAACAGCCUGAAGGCCGGGGCGCCAAGUUCGUCCAGCGGUAAAAGGCCACAAAAACGGGUGGGCCUUGGGGGGUGGG